rnacentral:rRNA from 1 species
UGGGGAAUAUUGGACAAUGGGCGAAAGCCUGAUCCAGCCAUGCCGCGUGGGUGAAGAAGGCCUUCGGGUUGUAAAGCCCUUUUGUUGGGAAAGAAAUCCUGUCGGUUAAUACCCGGCGGGGAUGACGGUACCCAAAGAAUAAGCACCGGCUAACUUCGUG